rnacentral:rRNA from 1 species
AUGGGACGAAAGUCUGACCGAGCAACGCCGCGUGAGUNAAGAAGGUUUUCGGAUCGUAAAACUCUGUUGGUAGAGAAGAACGUUGGUGAGAGUGGAAAGCUCAUCAAGNNACGGNAACUACCCAGAAAGGGACGGCUAACUACGUGCCAGCAGCCGCGGNAAUACGUAGGUCCCGAGCGUUGUCCGGAUUUAUUGGGCGUAAAGCGAGCGCAGGUGGUUUAUNNAGUCUGGUGUAAAAGGCAGUGGCUCAACCAUUGUAUGCAUUGGAAACUGGUAGACUUGAGUGCAGGAGAGGAGAGUGGAAUUCCAUGUGUAGCGGUGAAAUGCGUAGAUAUAUGGAGGAACACCGGUGGCGAAAGCGGCUCUCUGGCCUGUAACUGNCACUNNGGCUCGAAAGCGUGGGGAGCAAACAGGAUUAGAUACCCUGGUAGUCCACGCCGUAAACGAUNNGUGCUAGAUGUAGGGAGCUAUAAGUUCUCUGUAUCGCAGCUAACGCAAUAA